UACGUAGGGGGCUAGCGUUGUCCGGAAUCAUUGGGCGUAAAGCGCGCGUAGGCGGCCAGAUAAGUCCGGUGUGAAAGUCACAGGCUCAACCUGUGAAUGCCGCUGGAAACUGUCUGGCUAGAGUUCGGUAGGGGAGACUGGAAUUCCUGGUGUAGCGGUGAAAUGCGCAGAUAUCAGGAGGAACACCGGUGGCGAAGGCGGGUCUCUGGGCCGAUACUGACGCUGAGGAGCGAAAGCGUGGGGAGCGAACAGG
rnacentral:rRNA from 1 species